CGUUCAUUCGGAUUUCAAACACCGCAGUACGAUCGUCGAUUCAGCCUUAGCCAUGUCACGAUCUGGGAACGCGCGUUAAAAAACGAUUCAUUUGAGAACGCAUUUAAAAUGAUAACCAACUCCAUGGAAACCCACAUACCUACAAGAAAUUCAAAGGUAUAAUGAACAAGCAAUUAGUAGAAUAAAAAACGCCUAGAUGGACACAAAUAUUUUCAGUACCUACAAGGAAACAUAUUAUUUUCCAAUCCAACCGAAAAAAAAAUCAAAGAAAUGGCAACAAUGUUCAGCGUGCUUGAAAACACAGAAUCAUAGUAUACAUUAUAAAAUAUAUUAUAAAGAACAUGAAUAGUGUCAAAUUGUCAACGAAAAUAAAAAUCUUUUGCAUCCGUAAUGAUUUCAUUCACAUCCAAACGAGAAGAAACAAAAUCUGUGGCUCUAAAAUAUUGCACAUUUUAAUAGUUGAACCGCGCCCGAAGCACGGAGAUGAUGGCGAGACGAGAAUCUUGCGGCGGCGGCGGCGGCGUUUGAUUGCAGUACAAUAAUAUUAUAUAUAAUAUAUAUAUAUAUUAUAAUAUAGCGAUUUGCACAGGUCGACGACAGAAUCCUCUGCGACUAUAUAAUAACAAAUGACAAUAUUAUUUCUCCGACAAUUAUAGCCGCGCGCGGUUCACUGCAUCGGGCCGGAAUCAGUAAACCGGCAAUAUCAUUGUGUGCUGCCAUCUGCGUGAUGCGUCGCGAGCAGAACGAUCGAGGACAUCGCCAUCUCCCGCAAUCAGAACACUCGUUAAAAGCUGAUGCUGCUAAUAAACGUAGAACUUUAAAUUAUUCGUUACAGCUAUUAUUAUAUUAUUUAUUAUGACAAAACAUCGUUCCUCAGUAUUGUAUAAAAAUGAAUGACCACCUAUAAAAAAAAUAAUGACCAUCAUAUUUGACUCGACAGCUAGCGAGUGAAUUUGAUAAUAUUACUAAUUAUUUAUUGUGUUUAAUUAAAAUGGAUCCAUACAUAUUAUACUCGAGUUGUGUAUGAUAUUAAUUUAUAAGUCGAUAAAUUGAAAAUAUUAUUUAGUUACCAUAUGCCAUAACAAGAGAACACCACAACCCCACAUUUGUUGUAUCCGUACUAUAAAAAUUAAAUAUAACAAAUUUUAAAUUGAUAAUUUUAGUAUUUUAAACAAUUGCUCUAUUAUUAAACUUAAAGUUAAAAAUAUAAUUAUCUAGGGCAUAUUUUAAGUUUUUAUUAAUAUAUUAUUAAUCGUAUAAAAUAUUACAAUUUUAAAAUGAUCACAGUUCGCAUUAAAAUUAUAGCUCAACUCGCACAAUUAAUCAUCUUUCAAGCUAAUAAAAUAAAUAACAACACAAAAUUGUUUUUUAUGAACACAAAUUCAGUGUGUUGAUCGUUGUAAGACGAAUACAACACAUGUCAAAUAACGUGCUUUUAACAAAAUAUAUUAGUAGUAAUAAUAAAUAGAUAGCUAACUAUCAAUUAUCAUAAUGUUUUUUUAAAUAAUUUCAAUUUUAAGCAACAACUCAUUUAGCCUAUAUAUUAUGUUUAUUGUAUUUAAUACUAAAUAUACUGAAAUGGAAUAAUGAAACAUGUACGUAUAUGCAUCAAUAGUAAAAAAAUUAAACAAAAUAAUUAAAUAAUAAUUAAAACUCUUAUACCAUGUAAAAGAUUUAAACUUCCAAUUCAGUCAUCAAAUGUCACAAAAUUCCGUUAGAUUAUAUUGGGUUUAAUAAAAAAUUUUACAUCAUUAAUACACUAUAUUAUUUUCUAUGUAUAAAAUUGUAUUUUUGUCAUGGCUAUCUGUAUAAUACAAAUAGAACUAAUAACAGUAAUAACUGAUACUGAAUAUUGAUAUAAUAUCCUGUUUUAAACCAAUGUAAUACAGUAUUAUCUCUAUUUUGUUACCUUUAAUGUAAAGUAUGGAGUGUAAUAUAAUAUUUAAAUAAAACUAUUAUGUUUCAUUAAAAUGAAAAUUGUAAUGCCUAUAUAGUAUACAACACAAACCAAUAAUAUUGAGAAUAUUGACUUUUCUUAAUCGUUUAUUGUAAAUUAUUCCUGAUUAUUGGAUUACUUUGUAAUUUAUAUCUGUGUGUAAUGAGUAGGUUUUUAAAAUCUCUGUUUUAAUACAUAUUUUAUAAAAAGAAGACAAUUUAUAAGAACUAGAGGCUUACGAAAUAUUUAAAAAAAAAUCAAUAUAUUUUAGAAGUGUAAAAGAAAAUAUUCACAGAGACAUAGCAUUCGUUAUUAUUGACACAUUAAUACAAAUUUAAAUUGCAAAUAAAACUGAAUAAUGGCAUCUCAUUACAAUAAGACACGUGUAGUUGUUUCUCACAUAACAUCACAUUUUUUCAAUAAAUGUAAAAAUGUUAAAAAAAAUUAUCAGAGUUAUAUAAUAAUAAAAUUAUUUUAAUUUAAAUACUUAAAAAUUUAUAUAAAUUCACUGUGAAUAUUUCUUUUUUUAUUGUGAUCUGAUUGAACUUAAAAACUUUAAUUAUAUAAUAAAAUAACUUUUUUAAUCAAAUCUUAUAUUUAUGCACCUAUAGUUUAAAAAAUUGUAAUCAAAAUUAAAACAAUACAAAUAUUGUAUUUAUUUAUUUAAAUUACUUAAUAAGUACUUGUAUAUUAUUAUAAUGAAAAAACUAGUUAAUAUAUAUAAUAUGAUAUAUA